AGGCCUAUAGUUCAGUGGAUAGAAUAGUCGGCUUCGGACCGAUUGACGGGGGUUCGAUUCCUCCUAGGCCUG
rnacentral:tRNA from 1 species